GAUGAACGCUAGCUACAGGCUUAACACAUGCAAGUCGAGGGGCAGCAUGAACUUAGCUUGCUAAGUUUGAUGGCGACCGGCGCACGGGUGAGUAACACGUAUCCAACCUGCCGAUGACUCGGGGAUAGCCUUUCGAAAGAAAGAUUAAUACCCGAUGGCAUAGUUCUUCCGCAUGGUAGAACUAUUAAAGAAUUUCGGUCAUCGUUGGGGAUGCGUUCCAUUAGGUUGUUGGCGGGGUAACGGCCCACCAAGCCUUCGAUGGAUAGGGGUUCUGAGAGGAAGGUCCCCAGAGUUGGAACGGAGACACGGUCCAAAAUCCUACGGGAGGCAGCAGUGAGGAAUAUUGGGCAAUGGACGAGAGUCUGAACCAGCCAAGUAGAGUGAAGGAUGACUGCCCUAUGGGUUGUAAACUUCGUUUAUACGGGAAUAAAGUGAGGCACGUGUGCCUUUUUGUAGGUACCGUAUGAAUAAGGAUCGGCUAACUCCGU
rnacentral:rRNA from 1 species